rnacentral:rRNA from 1 species
UACGUAGGGGGCAAGCGUUGUCCGGAAUCAUUGGGCGUAAAGCGCGUGUAGGCGGUCCGGUAAGUCGGCUGUGAAAGUCCAGGGCUCAACCCUGGGAUGCCGGUCGAUACUGCCGGACUAGAGUUCGGAAGAGGCGAGUGGAAUUCCCGGUGUGAGCGGUGAAAUGCGCAGAUAUCGGGAGGAACACCAAUGGCGAAGGCGGUUCUCUGGGCCUUACCUGACGCUGAGGAGCGAAAGCAUGGGGAGCGAACAGG